UACGUAGGUGGCAAGCGUUUGUCCGGAUUUACUGGGCGUAAAGAGCGCGCAGGCGGUCGGAUAAGUCGAAUGUGAAAGCCCCCGGCUCAACUGGGGAGGGUCAUUCGAUACUGUUCGACUCGAAGGCAGGAGAGGGAAGUGGAAUUCCCGGUGUAGUGGUGGAAUGCGUAGAGAUCCCGGAGGGAACACCAGCGGCGAAGGCGGCAUCCUGGACUGGUACUGACGCUCAGGAGCGAAAAGCGUGGGGAGCGAUCCGG
rnacentral:rRNA from 1 species